AUUGAACGCUGGCGGCAGGCCUAACACAUGCAAGUCGAGCGGUAGCACAGGGAGCUUGCUCCUGGGUGACGAGCGGCGGACGGGUGAGUAAUGUCUGGGAAACUGCCUGAUGGAGGGGGAUAACUACUGGAAACGGUAGCUAAUACCGCAUAACGUCGCAAGACCAAAGAGGGGGACCUUCGGGCCUCUUGCCAUCAGAUGUGCCCAGAUGGGAUUAGCUAGUAGGUGGGGUAACGGCUCACCUAGGCGACAAUCCCUAGCUGGUCUGAGAGGAUGACCAGCCACACUGGAACUGAGACACGGUCCAGACUCCUACGGGAGGCAGCGGUGGGGAAUAUUGCACAAUGGGCGCAAGCCUGGUGCAGCCAUGCCGCGUGUAUGAAGAAGGCCUUCGGGUUGUAAAGUACUUUCAGCGGGGAGGAAGGCGAUAAGGUUAAUAACCUUGUCGAUUGACGUUACCCGCAGAAGAAGCACCGGCUAACUCCGUGCCAGCCGCCGCGGUAA
rnacentral:rRNA from 1 species